rnacentral:rRNA from 1 species
GAUGAACGCUAGCGGGAGGCUUAACACAUGCAAGUCGAGCGGGAUUCCCUUCGGGGAUGAGAGCGGCAGACGGGUGCGUAACGCGUAUGCAACCUGCCUUAUGCAGGGGGAUAGCCCAUGGAAACGUGGAUUAAUACCCCAUAGAAUCAUUAAGCUGCAUGGUUUGAUGAUUAAAACUUUGGUGGCAUAAGAUGGGCAUGCGUAGGAUUAGCUGGUAGGUGAGGUAACGGCUCACCUAGGCGACGAUCCCUAGGGGUUCUGAGAGGAUUAUCCCCCUCACUGGAACUGAGACACGGUCCAGACUCCUACGGGAGGCAGCAGUGAGGAAUAUUGGUCAAUGGCCGGAAGGCUGAACCAGCCAUCCCGCGUGCAGGAUGACGGCCCUACGGGUUGUAAACUGCUUUUCUAUGCCAAGAAACCUAUCUACGCGUAGAUAGUUGCCGGUAGCAUAGGAAUAAGCAUCGGCUAACUCCGUGCCAGCAGCCGCGGUAAUACGGAGGAUGCAAGCGUUAUCCGGAUUCAUUGGGUUUAAAGGGUGCGCAGGUGGGCAUUUAAGUCAGUGGUGAAAUACUGCCGCUUAACGGUAGAACUGCCAUUGAUACUGAAUGUC